rnacentral:rRNA from 1 species
GAUGAACGCUGGCGGCGUGCUUAACACAUGCAAGUCGAACGAUGAAGCCCAGCUUGCUGGGUGGAUUAGUGGCGAACGGGUGAGUAACACGUGAGUAACCUGCCCUUAACUCUGGGAUAAGCCUGGGAAACUGGGUCUAAUACCGGAUAGGAGCGCCUACCGCAUGGUGGGCGUUGGAAAGAUUUAUCGGUUUUGGAUGGACUCGCGGCCUAUCAGCUUGUUGGUGAGGUAAUGGCUCACCAAGGCGACGACGGGUAGCCGGCCUGAGAGGGUGACCGGCCACACUGGGACUGAGACACGGCCCAGACUCCUACGGGAGGCAGCAGUGGGGAAUAUUGCACAAUGGGCGAAAGCCUGAUGCAGCGACGCCGCGUGAGGGAUGACGGCCUUCGGGUUGUAAACCUCUUUCAGUAGGGAAGAAGCGAAAGUGACGGUACCUGCAGAAGAAGCACCGGCUAACUACGUG